UACGUAGGGAGCGAGCGUUAUCCGGAAUUAUUGGGCGUAAAGGGUGCGUAGAUGGUUGAUAUAAGUCUUUUGUAAAAAUGCUAGGCUCAACCUAGUAGGGCAAAAGAUACUGAUGAACUAGAGUACGGCAGAGGCAAGUGGAAUUCCAUGUGUAGCGGUGAAAUGCGUAGAGAUAUGGAGGAACACCAGUGGCGAAGGCGGCUUCCUGGUCUGCAACUGACACUGAGGCGCGAAAGCGUGGGGAGCAAACAGG
rnacentral:rRNA from 1 species